rnacentral:rRNA from 1 species
AUUGAACGCUGGCGGCAUGCCUUACACAUGCAAGUCGAACGGCAGCACGGGAGCAAUCCUGGUGGCGAGUGGCGAACGGGUGAGUAAUAUAUCGGAACGUGCCCAGUCGUGGGGGAUAACGUAGCGAAAGCUACGCUAAUACCGCAUACGAUCUAUGGAUGAAAGCGGGGGAGUCGCAAGACCUCGCGCGAUUGGAGCGGCCGAUAUCAGAUUAGGUAGUUGGUGAGGUAAAGGCUCACCAAGCCGACGAUCUGUAGCUGGUCUGAGAGGACGACCAGCCACACUGGGAC